rnacentral:rRNA from 1 species
GUAGGGAAUAUUGGACAAUGGGGGGAACCCUGAUCCAGCCAUGCCGCGUGGAGGAAGACUGCCCUCUGGGUUGUAAACUCCUUUUAUAUGGGAAGAACCGUCCUCAUUAAUGAGUGACCUGACGGUUCCAUAGGAAUAAGCACCGGCUAACUCCGUGCCAGCAGCCGCGGUAAUACGGAGGGUGCAAGCGUUAUCCGGAUUCACUGGGUUUAAAGGGUGCGUAGGCGGAUAAAUAAGUCAGUGGUGAAAUCAACGGGCUCAACCUGUUAACUGCCAUUGAUACUGUGUAUCUUGAAUAUGAGAGAGGUAGGCGGAAUGUUGCAUGUAGCGGUGAAAUGCUUAGAUAUGCUACGGAACACCGAUUGCGAAGGCAGCUUACUAUUUCAUGAUUGACGCUGAGGCACGAAAGCGUGGGUAGCGAACAGGAUUAGAUACCCUUGUAGUCC